rnacentral:rRNA from 1 species
AUUGAACGCUGGCGGCAGGCCUAACACAUGCAAGUCGAGCGGGGUUUUCGGUCCUAGCGGCGGACGGGUGAGUAAUGCGUAGGAAGCUACCCGAUAGAGGGGGAUACCAGUUGGAAACGACUGUUAAUACCGCAUAAUGUCUACGGACCAAAGUGUGGGACCUUCGGGCCACAUGCUAUCGGAUGCGCCUACGUGGGAUUAGCUAGUUGGUGAGGUAAUGGCUCACCAAGGCGACGAUCCCUAGCUGGUUUGAGAGGAUGAUCAGCCAAACUGGAACUGAGACACGGUCCAGACUCCUACGGGAGGCAGCAGUGGGGAAUAUUGGACAAUGGGCGCAAGCCUGAUCCAGCCAUGCCGCGUGUGUGAAGAAGGCCUUCGGGUUGUAAAGCACUUUCAGCGAGGAGGAAGGGGUGAGUGUUAAUAGUACUCAUCUUUGACGUUACUCGCAGAAGAAGCACCGGCUAACUCUGUGCCAGCAGCCGCCGUAAUAC